GGUAGUUGGUAGUUCUGUGGCUAAGGCAUUGGUCUACUGAUCGGAAGGUCAUGAGUUCAAAUCCCAGCACUGCCA